rnacentral:lncRNA from 1 species
CAGCCUAAAUACUGGUUUUAUGAAUCAUCAGUCACACCAAGCGAAUUUUUAAAAGCUAAAUUUUGCCUUUACAGCCUUCGUCGAUGAGACUUUCCUCCUCUUCAGCCCCGGGGGGUCACGACUACACACUGUUGUGUGAAGGAAACUGUCGCUAACGCAAAGUGCCGCGCUGCUUCUGGCCUCAACGAGCCACAGCGGCCGUGAACGCUGUUUGCUUUGGCAGGGACUGUGUGAGCUGCAGUCGCACGUUGCGAGGAACAUCGUAGCGAUUUACUCACGCGUGUGUUUAUUCAUGGGUUACCUCAGCGGCGCGUCACCGCGGACGACGACGUCGCUCUGCCGCCGCCCACCAACAACACUUCAUCUACAACUGCGCCUCUGCUCAUCUGACGACUCCCCAGAUGAAAUUUAGGAGGGUUU